CCGGGAACCCCGAACAUCCCCUUUCUCUACUCUUUCCCUUUGGAGUCUAUAGAGGGAGAAGCAGAGCCUAAGGCUUCAUCAGUUUGAAUACUGGCUGGGGCUGGGCAAGUUAGUGGCUCAAAGUGUUGAAUCUGUCCCUAAAGCAGGGACAGAAAUGGAGGCUCAGGAGGUAGAGGUGGCAGUGGGCGUGCAGGAGAAGCUGUAGGUCAGGAGGUAGAGGUGGCAGUGGGCGUGCAGGAGAACUGUAGGUCAGAGUGGAGAGGUGGCAGUGGGCGUGCAGGAGAAGCUGUAGGUCAGGAGGUAGAGGUGGCAGUGGGCGUGCAGGAGAAGGUGUAGGUCAGGGGGUAGAGGUGGCAGUGGGCGUGCAGGAGAAGCUGUAGGUCGGGAGGUAGAGGUGGCAGUGGGCGUGCAGGAGAAGCUGUAGGUCAGGAGGCAGAGGUGGCAGUGGGCGUGCAGGAGAAGCUGUAGGUCGGAGAGGGUGCAGAGUGGAGAACAGAUGAGCUGGAGUCACACCAUGCCCUAUACCCAGCCAGAGGCCGAAGUGAGCCUGUCACGGUAAUGCCACUGCCUGCUUGAUUCCCUCCCAUGCCUAGCCUGGGUUCUUCAUGAUCCCUGAGGCCCUCUUUGAUGUCAUCCCGCUGCCUCAAAACCUGUGUGUGCUGGUGGCUCCCUCUGCUUUCCUUCCAGAUGACUCCUUCGCUUCAGCUCAAAUGUCACCUUUGGCUGUUAAAAUCCUUUCCGGAGGAAGUUGUAAACAAUGCCUACCCCUCCUCCCGAGGUCUCUGAUUCCACUCCAGGGAAGAUUGCUCUGGGGGAGCCAAUGAGUUUGUUGGGAUUACUUCCAGAGCAUAGGUGAGGGGUUAGUUACUUGAAUAUGAGUGCUGCCCACCAAAAGACCGCACUGAAAAGUCUUUACCCAGCAGGGGUGAUGGU
rnacentral:lncRNA from 1 species